GGAAUAGGUCCUCCUUUUCUGUUGGGGUUCUAAACCUAACUGAAUUUUAGUCUCUGACACCAUUUUAUCACCAGGUUUCUUAACCUUUGGCUGAUUUUCGUCAUGUGCAUGGUGUAUAGUGUACAAUUUCAUACACUGACUGACUAGCCAUUCUAAUGGCAACUUACAAUCGUAAUCUCUCGCGAGAUUCAUUUGUAUGUUUACUGGCAUGGCAUGAAAAUACAGAUCUUUGAAGUCUGUGCUUUCAUACCUGGGUUUCCUUUGGGCCACG